AAAUAAAAAAUAAAAGUUAACAAGGUAUAAUAAAGGCUAAUUUGCAUAAAAAAUUCACUUAUUUUGGGCUUUUGUAAAACUGGGCCACCUUUUUCGGUUUUGCAGAUUCGGUCCGUUUUUUCAGCAAACUGACCAAAAUACCCUUAUUACUUUUUCUCUUUUCUCUUUCUCUCUCCGCUUCGUUUAUCUCAUUCUUUUUUUUUUCUCGCUGAAAAAAGUAAGGAAGGGAGAGGCGGAGGCGGAAACGGUCCGUGUAAUAAGAGGAGAAAUAGUGCAACAAGAGAAAAAAUAGUGCAACAAGAGAAAAAACAGUGCAACAAGAGAAGAAACAGUAUAAAUAUUUCUUAAAGGGGUGCAGUUUAAGAUAAAAAAUAGUGUAACAUGAGGAGAAAUAGUGCAACAAGAGGAGAAACAGUGCAACAAGAGAAAAAAAAAGUAUAAAUAUCUCUUAAAGGGGUGCAGUUUAAGAUAAAAAAUAGUGUAACAAGAGGAGAAAUGGUGCAACAAGAGGAGAAACAGUGCAACUUUCGUUUAAAGAGUAUAACUUUCAUCUUAAUGGAUGCAGUUUAUAUCUGAAAGAGUGCAAUAAGAGAAAAAACAGUGUAAAUAUCUCCCAAAGAGUGUAAUUUUCAUCUUAAAGCUGCAGUUUACAUUUUAAGUAAUGCAACUUAUAAUUUUUUUUUGCAGUUAACGAUGGAAUUUCAUCUUUAUCAUUCUUUUUCUAUAAGUUUUUAUCUUUAUUUUUUUUUCUUGCUUCUUUUAUUAUUUUUUUGGUCACAUCU
rnacentral:lncRNA from 1 species